rnacentral:rRNA from 1 species
CCUACGGGAGGCAGCAGUGAGGAAUAUUGGUCAAUGGGCGCGAGCCUGAACCAGCCAAGUAGCGUGAAGGAUGACUGCCCUACGGGUUGUAAACUUCUUUUGUAAAGGAAUAAAGUGCGGCACGUGUGCCUUUUUGUGUGUAUUUUAUGAAUAAGGAUCGGCUAACUCCGUGCCAGCAGCCGCGGUAAUACGGAGGAUCCGAGCGUUAUCCGGAUUUAUUGGGUUUAAAGGGAGCGUAGGUGGGUUGUUAAGUCAGUUGUGAAAGUUUGCGGCUCAACCGUAAAAUUGCAAUUGAUACUGGCAGCCUUGAGUACAGUUGAGGUAGGCGGAAUGCGUGGUGUAGCGGUGAAAUGCUUAGAUAUCACGAAGAACUCCGAUUGCGAAGGCAGCAUACUAAACUGCCACUGACACUGAUGCUCGAAAGUGUGGGUAUCAAACAGGAUUAGAUACCCUAGUAGUC